UGCUCAUUUCAACAAGUAAAGAGUGUAUUUGUUUCUAACCCGAAAUUUUGUCAUCGAUGACUAUUGUUUAGUAAACAUUAAGCUGCUAGAAACAGAUACAUCGUUUAAUAAACUUUAAUCGACCCUGCGUAGUCAGACAGAAAUAGAUUACAUUCACACACUGUAAACAAACAGGUAAAAGUGCGGUAAAUAAAUAACCAGGACUUUGCGAAAACAACACAUGCUCGUAAUUAUUUAAACGACAGAUGCAGAAACAAAUUUAUCGUUUACACGUCUCAAUGAUAAACGAUCAACGACUAUGCGACUAUUUUGCGCGUACAUCGUUUAUGUGAACGAUGUCAAAGUUGACCAAAAAAUGUAAGAAACAAAUGGAUUAAACGACUACGCGCGUAAUCAUUUACAUCGUAUGAUCGUUUAUGUUAGAAACAAAUGCGCUCUAAAUUACAUGUUUCAUCUUCAGUAUGUGUUCGGUACCAAAAAAAAAAUAAACAAAAACAAUAUGUAAAUACAUCAGGUAUAUCAUCAUGAUCAUAAAAGCAAAUAUCAAUUUAAUAUAUCAU
rnacentral:lncRNA from 1 species